rnacentral:rRNA from 1 species
CGCCUUUUGAAAAUUAUAAAAGGUAACGCCUGCCCAGUGACAUCUGUUUAACGGCCGCGGUAUUCUGACCGUGCGAAGGUAGCGUAAUCACUUGUCUUUUAAAUAAAGACUAGUAUGAAUGGCAUCACGAAGACUUAACUGUCUCCUUAGUCCUAUCCGUGAAACUGAUCUUCCCGUGCAAAAGCGGGAAUAAAAUCAUAAGACGAGAAGACCCUAUGGAGCUUAAAACUAAAACCUAGCUAUCCUAUCUAUUAAAAUUAACUAAUACUAUGUAUGUAUAGACUUAAUUAAAGUUUUCAGUUGGGGUGACUGUGGAGAAAAACUAAUCCUCCAUGUAGAAUUAAGCUUUGAAUCACCAUUCUUAGCAUUAGCAAGUCUAACUUUACUUGAUCCAAUAAUUUUGAUCAACGGACCAAGUUACCCUAGGGAUAACAGCGCAAUCCAUUUCAAGAGUCCAUAUCGACAAAUGGGUUUACGACCUCGAUGUUGGAUUAGGACACCCUAGUGGUGCAGCCGCUACUAACGGUUCGUUUGUUCAACGAUUUAAGUCCU